UACGGAGGGUGCAAGCGUUGCUCGGAAUCAUUGGGCGUAAAGGGCAAGUAGGUGGUCUCAUUUGUCUAGGGUGAAAUCCUUGAGCUUAACUCAAGAAGUGCCCUAGAAACGGUGGGACUAGAGUUCUGGAGAGGGUCGUGGAAUUCCCGGUGUAGCGGUGAAAUGCGUAGAGAUCGGGAGGAACACCAGAGGCGAAGGCGGCGACCUGGACAGAUACUGACACUCAACUGCGAAAGCGUGGGGAGCAAACAGG
rnacentral:rRNA from 1 species